AUACUUACCUGACAGGGGAGAUACCAUGAUCACGAAGGUGGUUUCCCAGGACUGGUCUUAUCCAUUGCACUCCGGAUGUGCUGACCCUUGCGAUUUCCCCAAAACUCAACUGCUUGAAA
ensembl:snRNA U1 U1 spliceosomal RNA